AACAUUGUAUCAUUUCGAUUUCAGGUUUUGGAUUGGAUAAUGAGCCUCUUUCAGAGAGAAUUACAUCAUAAUGCAUCAUACAUAGUUGCCUGGAUGAAUUAUGGGAACAAGAUGCCCCACUUGUUAUCAUGUUGUGUGGACUAAAACAAAUUUAUCACCCAUGGUGUUUAUAAAGCUUAGCCAAAAUUUAUCAAGGAGGAGCGCUCGAGGCAUGCGAUCAUUGGCAAGUAAAUCCAUCUAAGGAGGAGCACUCGAGGCAUGCAAUCGGUUCUGGAGAAGAAGGGGAGGUGCUGGUUGCAGGGUGCUGGAGCUGAGACGACCACAUGCAUGCCUGAGAAGAACAGGCUCAUCGAUGUCACCUCCCUCACCUUUGUCAUCUGCUGUUGUGAUGCGGAUCAAUCUAAACAUGUUUUUUUGGUUAGUUUGUCUAUUUUUUAGGGAUAAACUUCAUUAAUUGAAGCAUCAUAUGUUGGAGAAUGUAGAUUCAGCAUUUGUUUGAGUAGCUUUGGAGGUAUUCUAUACAACCUAUGAGUGAUAUACCCUCCUCUCUCCUCCAUCCAUUUCACUCAAGUAGUCAAGUUAACCCAGUACACACAUGUGUAGUCUGCCUUUAGGUGGUUUUCCCUUCGCUACAUAUAAUGUAGUUUUAUGAAUUUUCGAGCUCUUAUUAUACCAGACUAAGUGGUUAUAUUGUA